GUGUCAGCAGCCGCGGUAAUACGGAGGGUGCAAACGUUAAUCGGAAUUACUGGGCGUAAAGCGCACGUAGGCGGUCCGUUAAGUGGGGUGUGAAAGCCCUGGGCUCAACCUGGGAAUUGCAUUCCAAACUGACGGGCUAGAGUGUGGUAGAGGGGGGUAGAAUUCCCUGUGUAGCGGUGAAAUGCGUAGAUAUAGGGAGGAAUACCUGUGGCGAAGGCGGCCCCCUGGACCAACACUGACGCUGAGGUGCGAAAGCGUGGGGAGCAAACAGGAUUAGAAACCCCAGUAGUCC
rnacentral:rRNA from 1 species